AACGUAGGUGGCGAGCGUUAUCCGGAUUUACUGGGCGUAAAGGGUGUGCAGGCGGGCUGUUAAGUGGUGUAUGAAAUAUCCCGGCUCAACCGGGAGAGGUUAUGCCAGACUGGCAGUCUAGAGAGCGAGAGAGGGACGUGGAAUUCCGGGUGUAGUGGUGAAAUGCGUAGAGAUCCGGAGGAACCCCAGAGGCGAAGGCGGCGUCCUGGACCGACAUUGACGCUGAUGAGCGAAAGCUAGGGGAGCAAACGGG
rnacentral:rRNA from 1 species